GGGGAUGUAGCUCAGGUGGGAGCGCACCUGCCUGAUAAGCGUGAGGUCAGGAGUUCGAUCCUCCUAAGCUCCA
rnacentral:tRNA from 1 species